rnacentral:rRNA from 1 species
GUGGGGAAUUUUGCGCAAUGGGGGAAACCCUGACGCAGCAACGCCGCGUGCGGGAUGACGGCCCUCGGGUUGUAAACCGCUUUCAGCAGGGAAGACCAUGACGGUACCUGCAGAAGAAGCUCCGGCUAACUACGUGCCAGCAGCCGCGGUAAUACGUAGGGAGCGAGCGUUAUCCGGAUUCAUUGGGCGUAAAGCGCGCGUAGGCGGCUGCCUAAGCGGAACCUCUAAUCCCGGGGCUCAACCCCGGGCCGGGUUCCGAACUGGGCGGCUCGAGUGCGGUAGAGGAGAGCGGAAUUCCCGGUGUAGCGGUGGAAUGCGCAGAUAUCGGGAAGAACACCGAUGGCGAAGGCAGCUCUCUGGGCCGGCACUGACGCUGAGGCGCGAAAGCUGGGGGAGCGAACAGGA